rnacentral:rRNA from 1 species
GACGAACGCUGGCGGCGUGCUUAACACAUGCAAGUCGAACGGAAGGGCCCUGCUUUUGUGGGGUGCUCGAGUGGCGAACGGGUGAGUAACACGUGAGUAACCUGCCCUUGACUUUGGGAUAACUUCAGGAAACUGGGGCUAAUACCGGAUAGGAGCUCCUGCUGCAUGGUGGGGGUUGGAAAGUUUCGGCGGUUGGGGAUGGACUCGCGGCUUAUCAGCUUGUUGGUGGGGUAGUGGCUUACCAAGGCUUUGACGGGUAGCCGGCCUGAGAGGGUGACCGGCCACAUUGGGACUGAGAUACGGCCCAGACUCCUACGGGAGGCAGCAGUGGGGAAUAGUGCACAAUGGGCGGAAGCCUGAUGCAGCAACGCCGCGUGCGGGAUGACGGCCUUCGGGUUGUAAACCGCUUUCGCCUGUGACGAAGCGUGAGUGACGGUAAUGGGUAAAGAAGCACCGGCUAACUACG